GGAAGAAGGAAAGGCUCAUGCUGAGUUUCCUGCGUCCAUCGUGAUAAUUGGCGGACUGCCUCUCUCUCUCUCUCUCUCUCUCUCUCUCUCUCUCUCUCUCUUGUACGCACACUGGCUGACUAUACAAACAGGCGCUGUGAUGGAGCGGCAGAGGACGCAAGAGAGUUGGCCAGUGUUAAAGAUCUUAAGCCAGAUAAACGUUAUGACAUUAUGGGCAAAAUGCGAUCAGCAUGACUUCGAGCUGAUAGCGACUGAAUGAGAGUUUCACAUGAACUCGGCAGUGGAAGAAUUAAAAACACCAGUAAACAGUGCUGGAAUCAGGGUGUAAAGGAAAACGCCACGUGGAUUACACAGCAUUUAUCCCACAUCCAUAAAGCUGUCAGUUCCUCAGAGCAGGAUGAGUCUGCACUGACAUGAGGAAGGUAACUGUACUGUAUGAAUUGGGAGCCAGAGCUGAUGAGACAGCAUGUGCAGUCAUGUUAUUACACAAUUAUUUGUUUUAUUUCCUUUUGCACAUACUGUUUUUACAGCAUCAAACAGAGUGAUUACACCGCUUGCUACCCAAGACAGAACCUGUCAAACAAACAAAUGAAAGACAGCUUAUUUCCUAACACAUUAACUGUGAUUGAUUUAUCAGUGACACACCGCAGGUAGCAUUGAUUUUUCUGAGGACUCAUAAAACACAUAAAUUACAGUCAUAACCGCAGGGUGGCAUCAAACUGUUACUGCUCUGGAAUGGCACUAGUCUCCUGUCUGUGACAAGACUAAUGAUUCAUAAUGUGCUUAGCUGCUGUAGAGUGUACUUUUAUUUGAGAAUGAGUCAAUAACCCCAGUGGCUAAAUGAAUAUUGAUUGAAUAUAAUGAAGCUUGAAUAAUGGCUGAACACACAGUGCUCAAGAACAGUCUUUCUUUUCUCUCAGAGCAUCCCUGUGCAGCUCUGGGACAUGGCCUCUAGUACUGAGAUGAAAUGUUGCAGUCUGUAAUAACAACAUUAGAAACAUCACUGAAGUUACUCAUGUAAAGUUGUUAUAAGACACAUUAGAUUUACAGCCUUUUACUGUUUAACAUUUGUAGUUGUAUACAGUUAGUGAAAUGAUAGGCAUGCAUGUACAUUCACAUACAUUUGCACGGUAGCUCAUGUUAGGAUACGUAGCUUUAGUCAUGAAUUUACUGUGAUUUAUAUAAAAUCCAAUAAAUACUGAAGCAAUACAGGUUACUGAACAAGAUUAUAGUUAUAAACCUAAUAAGUCAAUUAACAACCAAUUCUCCAGAAUAUUUGUUACUUCAGUUUAAGAAUUUAAAGAGAAAAUGAAAUGAAUAAAGAUCAAUGAGUUUAGUUCAAUAAAAGCAACAGGUUUGUGCUGGGUUUUUUUUCUGUGUUCUAAUAUUCUGUAUUUUAACUAAGAAUUAACUGCAGGCAAAGAUUAGAGAUUAGCAAAGAUUUGCACUAACCAGUUUAAUUCCUGUAUGUUUAUAUUUACUCAACACUCCUAAAUCCUGUUUGGUAUUUCCUGUCCAGAGACCCUCUCUGCCGUGUCCUUUUAAAGGUAGUGCUAACAGAAUAACUGCGCUUAAAGCGUAGUUUUCCUGUGGUUUGUUUUGACCUCAGUCGGAUCUUUUGGGUUUGCACUCCUUAGUAUAGACCGAAGUGUUGUAGGUAUCAAAUGUCCUUAGAGCAAAACAAACUCUAAAAAGCGGCCUCCCUAUUCAGCAUGGAUUAGCUAAAGUGUCUGAAGCAGCUGUGGAGUGAAAAUCGGAAGGUUUCUAAACCUCACAGCCUAAAAGCAAAGUAUCUGCACUUUUGAAUAUUCUAUAGCAGAUACACCAUAGUGUUAUUAAAACAUGCUUUCAUAAAAAUCCAGUGCUGAUCAAAGCAUCUGUUAAGAAGUGAGUUUUCUACCACUAUAUAAACAAGAUGUCUGUUUUAAACUUCAGUUAUUAAAAAAAUUCGGAUGCUUUACUAAUGAUCCGUUUAUUUCAUGGACUUUUCGUGCGUAUUUGGUUAAACAACUCCUUUGAAAAUAAUAUUCAUAAAGAUUAAACACUCUCAUUUAUUCAAACACCAAUUAGCCACAGCCUAAAUAGGGAUAAAUGAUCAGUGGCCACAUGCGGACAGCAUUCCUAAUUAAUUACAAGAGUUUGAAUUACACUUACAGUCAUUACAGCCAGGAAAACAAUUCCUCCUGUUACAAGUCCUUGUGUAACCAAUACCCCUUGGGCAUGGAUGUUUGGAGUGGGUUGAAUGGACGAACGUUUUUCAGAGACAUUCUUUUCUAAUGAAAGAGAUGACAUAUCAGUGGAAAUGGAGGAGAGAACAGCUGUGACAUGAACAAAGCACUGUGGGACAUUUUAAUGUGACGUCUCAUUGGUGGGAGCCGAACGAGCCACAGAACUCAUGUGAUUGCAUUCCAGUUUCCAGUUUUCCCUGACUCCCAAGAGGAGUUGAUUUGGUUUAGUCUUUAGUGAGAUUUCUAAUUUUGUGAAGGCCUUGUUGGUCUGUGGAGAAGAUUUGGAACUGAUCUAUUGAUUGGUUGAGUGAGUAAAUAAAUGACUGAAGGAAUGAUUGAACGAGUGAUUAAGUCUAUGUGAUGAUCUCAUUCUUUUCUCCUCCGGCUGGCAGUAGAUAGAUCACAGAUCUGUUUUUUUCUAUACACAUCGGUUUUAAAGGGCCUCGUGACUACAGCACUAUCAAAAAUAUCCACUGUUGCUGCUGUGGCCUUAAUGAACAUGGCCAGGACUAUAAAUGGCACGAGCCCCUGUGGGAUUCUGUUGCCCAAAUGAAGUGCAGCGGAGGUUGAGCCGGGACUGAAGUGUGACAGAUGAACUGUGGUUAAUGGCCACUUACAGAGAGGUCUCAUCUCCACUGGGCCAUGCAUGCACAUCAGCAGGUGACUAAAGCAGCAGCUCUACUUGUCAAACUGUCCCAUUACUGCCUAAUGAAGAGUAAUCAUGCUGCUGUUGAGUGAAAUGUUAUUCUUGGCUAAAAGGUAUUUGUGCUUGUCAGCCAGUUUUAGGUUAGGGUGGAGUAAGGGGAGGUUAUACAUUUAUGAUUAUAUCAGGUGGAGGAUGUGUUCACAUAAAUAUCUCUGAAACUUAACUUGACGUAAAAGCUUAUUAUAAUAUUUUUGUAGGGCAGAUUUGCCAGAGAUGAACAAAUGAAAAACACAUUGUUCUUUUUGAACACAGAUGUAGUUAGGUUUAAUGGUGUAGAAUGUCACAAGAUAAUCUGUUAGCACUUACAUUAGAGCAGUUCCUUCACCAGCCUCUUCUUUUUCUAUCCUGAAGAUAAAAAGACAAAAACAAAGCUUGUUAUGUGUUCCAGAAAGUUCUCCAUCCAUAUAUAUCUCCAUAUUUAUACAUUUUCAUUACCAUAUAAGAGCGCAUUGUAAUAUGUUUAUUGUUAGUGUAGGACUAUGUGGAGUGUCUACCAACCAGGUCCCUGUGAAAAAGCUGUUAUUUUAGAAAUCAUCAGCUUUUACAGCAAGCAUGUCCAAGAACCAUAAAUAUAGUUAAAUAUAUCUUUAGGCAUACUAACACAUAGUUUGUUUGUGAAAAUGCCAAUGACGCUAUUUGUUACCUCCACUGGCAGGAGUCAUGGUGUCUAAUCCAUCACUCCUUAUCAGUCUCUUCUGAGACCUGUGAUCAGCAGGAAUGCUCAGGUGAUUUAACCCCUGCAGCUCAGACAGAGCCCUCAGAGAUACAUGCACUAGUUCAACUCCCUACGCCAACACAAACACUAGACUGUCCAGACAAGUCUGUCCACACAAACCAGACAGAUCAGCAUGAAAGCAAACAAGUCCUUGGACAUGUAGGAGAGGAUCUAGGAACAGGACUGAACAAGGACACAGUGGACAGAGCCAAGAGACACUAGACCUGGAUCCUGCAGAGUGUGAUGAGGAAAACCCAAAAGUGACAGAGACGUCAGAGAGCAUCGAACACAAGGUGAGCCUGCCAUCAGUGUGCUGCGAGCAGGACAGAGCUGUCCCAGCGGUGAAGGUCACAACACUAGAAGUGAAGUAAGACUAUGCUGUAUUCUACUCAUGGACUGUGGAUGCCAUUUAUUCAUCUUAUGCUUCUUAAUGGAAAAUGUGAUUAUAUCUAGUGCAUGCAUUUUUAUUUCUUAUUACAGCACAGCAUUGUAGAAGUCUUGAUUGUGAUUGGUCUGAAGUUGUUCAUUUUUUUUAUAGCAGUAGACAGAUAAUGGUGCUGGCUCAAAUCUUAUGUGAUAAAUAAAUGUGAUCUAAUAUGUUGAAAUUUCCAUUGUAACAGCUUAAUUCACACGUACAGUACAUGCUGCACAUAAUCCAUGCCUGAUAAUAAACAGAAAAAAAGGUGUUGUUAUUUAAUAAAGAAUAAUGUAUAAUGGUUAAUUUCAAUAAAUCUCAUUAAAAAAUUUCCUCAGUAACAUGACAAAUUAUAAGACUAUUUUUUAAACAUUUGUUUCUUUUAUUAACUUCAAGGAAAGUUAAUAUGUACACUACCAGUCAAAAGUUUGGACACAUCUUCUAAUCCCAUGGUCUUUCCUGAUGUUUAUUUCUUUCUACAUUGUAAAACAAUGCUGAAGGCGGCCGAAAUCCACAGUAAUGUCCUUUGAACAGUUGAUAUUGAGAUAUGUCUGCUACUGAUGCUCUGUAAAGCCUUCAUAACGCCUCUAAUCUGAGGUGCUGUUAAUUGGUGAUUUCUGAGGCUGGUGACUCUAAAUGAACUUCUCCUCUGCAGCAGAGGUCAGUUUUGGUCUUGCUUUACUGGGAUGGUCUUCAUGUGAGCCAGUUUCAUCAUGGUGCUUGAUGGGUUUUGCAAAUGCACUUGACAAUACUGUUCUUGCAAGAACUAUUCCAGAACACCUGACCUUCGUGUCUUAAAACAACAACUGACUGUUUUUUGUUGUCGUUACAUAUGGAUUGCUGAAGUCCAUGUGUGUUAUUUCAUAGUUUUGAAAUCUCCAGUAGAAUGUAGAAAAUAAAUCCCUAAACAAAAAACAUUGAAUUAUAAGGUGUGUCCAAACUUUUGACUGGUAGUGUAUAUAUAUAUAUAUAUAUAGUUGCUAUAACUUGAGUGUUAAAAGGAACUAAUUUGUCACAAAAUUAAGUAUAACCAUAAAUGUUUGCAACAUGUUUAUUAAGAACAAUUGUAAUCAUUGGCACUUUACUCUUUAUAAUGCUAUGCUGCAUUCUACUAUUAUUAAUAAACCUAUACUAUUUUCCUAUCCAUCCUUGAUUACUAUCAUGUGCUACAUUGUUUAAAUAACACGUCAGCAGUUAAAGUUUACUAAUAGGACAUUUUGCAAAUGUGUGCAUAAAUUCUACAAAAAUAUCAGCUCAGUUAAUGUUGUUUUAUGACCUUAUAAUAUCUUAAAAAUAUCACAUACUGUAGGCUAUAUGCUUUUUCUCACAAUCGGUUGUAUAACACUCCAUUCAGACAUGCACAGAAAAUUCUGGUAAAUAAAUCAAUGUAAAUUCCUGCAAUUUGUAUAUGUCUUGUUUAAACACAUCACGCCACCUAACACGUACAUUUGAUUGAUGUCUUUCUUUUUUUCCUCAAAUCAGGACUAUUUGUCUCUGUAACUCUCCAGCAGACUUUCUCUCUUCUGCAUAUUUGCAGUCUUUGUUCUCAGUGU